AGUUUGAUCCUGGCUCAGAUUGAACGCUGGCGGCAUGCCUUACACAUGCAAGUCGAACGGUAACAGGUCUUCGGAUGCUGACGAGUGGCGAACGGGUGAGUAAUACAUCGGAACGUGCCCGAUCGUGGGGGAUAACGAAGCGAAAGCUUUGCUAAUACCGCAUAAGAUCUACGGAUGAAAGCAGGGGACCGCAAGGCCUUGCGCGAACGGAGCGGCCGAUGGCAGAUUAGGUAGUUGGUGGGAUAAAAGCUUACCAAGCCGACGAUCUGUAGCUGGUCUGAGAGGACGACCAGCCACACUGGGACUGAGACACGGCCCAGACUCCUACGGGAGGCAGCAGUGGGGAAUUUUGGACAAUGGGCGAAAGCCUGAUCCAGCCAUGCCGCGUGCAGGAUGAAGGCCUUCGGGUUGUAAACUGCUUUUGUACGGAACGAAAAGACUCUGGUUAAUACCUGGGGUCCAUGACGGUACCGUAAGAAUAAGCACCGGCUAACUACGUGCCAGCAGCCGCGGUAAU
rnacentral:rRNA from 1 species